rnacentral:rRNA from 1 species
AUUGAACGCUGGCGGCAGGCCUAACACAUGCAAGUCGAGCGGAGCGGCGGACGGGCGCGUGAUGCCUAGGAAUCUGCCUGCUAGUGGGGGAUAACGUCCGGCAACGGGCGCUAAUAACGCAUACUAUCAGUUGAGUCUAGGGCGGUUUAGUUAGCUGGUGGGGGAAAGGCCUACCAAGGCGACGAGCCGUAACUGGUCUGUCAGGAUGAGCAGUCACACUGGAACUGAGACACGGUCCAGACUCCUACGGGAGGCAGCAGUGGGGAAGAUUGGAAAAUGGGCGAAAGCCUGAUCCAGCCAUGCCGCGUGUGGGAAGAAGGGCUUCGGGUUGUAAAGCACUUUCAGCGGGGAGGCGUUACCCGCAGAAGAAGCACCGGCUAACUCCGUGCCAGCAGCCGCGGUAAUUC